AGCAGUGGGGAAUAUUGCACAAUGGGGGAAACCCUGAUGCAGCCAUGCCGCGUGUGUGAAGAAGGCCUUCGGGUUGUAAAGCACUUUCAGUAGGGAGGAAGGUAGUGUAGUUAACACCUGCACUAUUUGACGUUACCUACAGAAGAAGCACCGGCUAACUCCGUGCCAGCAGCCGCGGUAAUACGGAGGGUGCGAGCGUUAAUCGGAAUUACUGGGCGUAAAGCGCAUGCAGGCGGCCUGUUAAGUCAGAUGUGAAAGCCCGGGGCUUAACCUCGGAAUUGCAUUUGAAACUGGCAGGCUAGAGUCUUGUAGAGGGGGUAGGAAUUUCAGGUGUAGCGGUGAAAUGCGUAGAGAUCUGAAGGAAUACCAGUGGCGAAGGCGGCCCCCUGGACAAAGACUGACGCUCAGAUGCGAAAGCGUGGGGAGCAAACAGGAUUAGAUACCCUGGUAG
rnacentral:rRNA from 1 species